UUAAGAUAAAUGAAUAGCAGUAAUCAUAGAGGGGAUGACUUUUUAAAUAAAAAUAUACAGAGCAUAUGAAUAAAAAGUGUUUGCCAAUAGAGCAUAAGACCAUAAGACCACAUAGAGCAUAAGACCAUAAGACCACAUAGAGCACUAUGUUAUAGCACCAAUACCUCUCAUGCAGCAAAAAUGCAAAAUAAUAGAUUGUAAUAUUUUCUUUUUAUAUAAUUUUCUUUUUAGAUAUGAUAUUGUUAAUGAGUCAAAUGUUCCAGUGAAAGUAAAUAUAUCUUUUACAAUAAAGGAUGUUAUCAGCAUUCAAGAAAUAAAUCAUGUUUUCACUUUAAAGUUUGCCCUGACAUUGGAUUGGUAUGAUUAUCGCCUGACAUAUUAUAACCUGAAGAAAACAAAAUCUUCGAAUACUCUUGCAGCAGAUGAGAUGGAGAAAAUUUGGAUUCCAUUUGUAGUAUUUGAAAAUACACAGGACAAUGAAGCCACAAUUGUGUCAAGAAAUAGUGAAGUCACCAUAUACCGUGAAGGAAAUUUUGUCCGAAGUCCUCCUGAGGUGUUGGAAGAACUUAACAUAUU